CGACUCGGGAGUAGUAGUUAUGCAACAUGCCACGAGGGCGCAAACGAAAACAGGACGAUAAUUCUGAUCGUGGAAAAGAUGAAGCGGCAGAGGCCGAGAAAGAAAUAUCUGCUGAUGAAGAUAGUCCAGUGAAAAAGAAGAAAGAUCUGUCCAAGAGCUUGACUUUCAAGAUCGAGCAUUGUAAAUCCUGACAGGUGUAUAAAAGGAAUGCAAAUCAGUUGUCCUCGGACUUGCUGAAGGCAUUCCCAAGUGCCCAGGUCCUUAUCAAUGAAACUAAACCACGUUCAAAGAGUUUUGAAUUAACAGCCGUGAAGGAGGAUGGAGAAGAGUUACAGCUUUGGACAGGUAUAAAGAAGGGCCCACCAAGAAAACUGAAAUUUCCAGUUAACAGUGAUCUCAUUGAGGAAGCAAUGAAACUACUCUAGUGGCUUAUCAUCACUCAAGGUCAGGUUCAUGUUGAAGUUUAGUUUGGAUAUUUGAGGCUUUGGCCUACAAGAAACUGAUUUCUGUUUUCUGUACAUUGCAACCAAAUAAAUGACAGUCUACGAAACAAUGGAGCUCUUUGCACCAUUCAUAGACUUGAUGUAGAGUUGGACUCUGUACAUUGAUGAAAUUAGUAAUCUGGUUAGGCUUGACCAAAAAAAUAUAAGAAGUUGUAUUAUUGAUUUGUGUUCAUAAGGGAAUCCAUUUUUAAAACAUUUACCUAUCAAUAAUUAUUGUAGUCUGGGUUGAAUUAUGUUUGUUUAUUUGUUGUUGUUGUUUUGAGAAAUUGUGAUGAGAUGCACUAACUGAUAACUACAUGGUUUUUAAUGGGAUAAUUUGACUAAAAAGUGUUUGAAUGAGUUUGAAGAAGAAAGGUUUGCUUCUCAGAGCUUUUCUGUUCUUGCAUAGCCAAUAAUAGUGAAAUGAAACAAAUAAAGAAGUUGUUAGUCUGUUUGCUU